UGAUCCUGGCUCAGAACGUACGCUGGCGGCACGCCUAACACAUGCAAGUCGAACGAAGUAGCAAUACUUAGUGGCAGACGGGUGAGUAACAUGUAGGUAUCUGCCCUUUGGCCUGGAAUAACACGAGGAAACUUGUGCUAAUACCGGAUAAGUCUUUACAGAGAAAGCUUUAUGCACCAUUGGAUGAGCCUGCACUUGAUUAGUUUGUUGGUGGGGUAAUGGCCUACCAAGACUGUGAUCAAUAGCUGAUUUGAGAGGAUGAUCAGCCACAUUGGGACUGAGACACGGCCCAAACUCCUACGGGAGGCAGCAGUGGGGAAUCUUGCACAAUGGAGGAAACUCUGAUGCAGCGAUGCCGCGUGAGUGAAGAAGGCCCUUGGGUUGUAAAGCUCUUUCGUCGGGGAAGAAAAUGACUGUACCCGAAUAAGAAGAUCCGGCUAACUUCGUGCCAGCAGCCGCGGUAAUACGAAGGGACCUAGCGUAGUUCGGAAUUACUGGGCUUAAAGAGUUCGUAGGUGGUUGAAAAAGUUAGUGGUGAAAUCCCAGAGCUUAACUCUGGAACUGCCAUUAAAACUUUUCAGCUAGAGUAUGAUAGAGGAAAGCAGAAUUUCUAGUGUAGAGGUGAAAUUCGUAGAUAUUAGAAAGAAUACCAAUUGCGAAGGCAGCUUUCUGGAUCAUUACUGACACUGAGGAACGAAAGCAUGGGUAGCGAAGAGGAUUAGAUACCCUCGUAGU
rnacentral:rRNA from 1 species